rnacentral:rRNA from 1 species
AGCUCCAAUAGCGUAUAUUAAAUUUUUUGCAGUUAAAAAGCUCGUAGUUUGAAUUCUGGCCGUAGCGGUUGGUGCGACUCUCUGAUUUGUUACUUGCAUUGUCUCUGGUCAUCCUUGGGGAUAACCUGUCUGGCAUUAGGUUGUCGGGCAGGGGUUACUCAUCGUUUACUGUGAAAAAAUUAUAGUGUUCAAAGCAGGCUUACGCCGUUGAAUAUACUAGUAUGGAAUAAUAAUAUAGGAACAUUGUACUAUUUUUUUGAUUUUUGCACGAGGGUAAUGAUUAACAGGGACAAUUGGGGAUAUUUGUAUUUCAGUGGAAGAGGUGAAAUUCUUGGAUUUCUGAAAGACAAACAACUGCAAAAGCAUUUAUCAAGGAUUUUUUCA